rnacentral:rRNA from 1 species
UGAGGAAUAUUGAGCAAUGGGCGACAGCCAGACUCAGCAACGCCGCGUGGACGAUGAAGGCCUUCGGGUCGUAAAGUCCUUUUCAGGGGGACGAGAGAGGACGGUACCCCUGGAAUAAGUCACGGCUAACUACGUGCCAGCAGCCGCGGUAAAACGUAGGUGGCGAGCGUUAUCCGGAUUCAUUGGGCGUAAAGCGCCUGCAGGCGGUCCCGUAAGUGGGAUGUGAAAUCUCCUGGCUCAACUGGGAGAGGUCGUCCAAGACUGCGGGUCUUGAGGUCGGGAGAGGGAAGUGGAAUUCCCGGUGUAGUGGUGGAAUGCGUAGAUAUCGGGAGGAACACCAGUGGCGAAAGCGGCUUCCUGGCCCGCACCUGACGCUCAAGCGCGAAAGCGUGGGGAGCGAACGGGAUUAGAUACCCCGGUAGUCUACGCUGUAAACGAUGGGUACUAGGUGUUGGUGGUAUUGACCCCAUCAGUGCCGAAGCUAACGCGAUAAGUACCCCGCCUGGGGACUACGAGCGCAAGCUUA